GGAUGCGAUCAUACGAGCACUAAAGCAACGGAUCCCAUCAGAACUCUGAAGUUAAGCGUGCUUGGGCGGGUGACCUCCUGGGAAGUCCUCGUGUUGCAUUCC
rnacentral:rRNA from 1 species